rnacentral:rRNA from 1 species
UACGGAGGAUGCAAGCGUUAUCCGGAAUGAUUGGGCGUAAAGGGUCCGCAGGUGGCAAUGUGUGUCUGCUGUCAAAGAAUGAGGCUUAACCUCAUCAAGGCAGUGGAAACUACAUAGCUAGAGUACGGUCGGGGUAGAAGGAAUUCCUGGUGUAGCGGUGAAAUGCGUAGAGAUCAUGAGGAAGACCAGUGGCGAAGGCGGGUCUCUGGACAGUUCCUGACACUGAGACACGAAGGCCAGGGGAGCAAACGGG